rnacentral:lncRNA from 1 species
CCUGGCCAUGCUGGUCAGUGCAGGGGCAGGCACUGUGUCCUCAUUUUUCUUCCUCAUCCAGAGCUCAGCCCUGAGCAGCCCAUCUUAGGCUCAGGGCAUCUCUGAUUAUACAGCCUGUAAACAUCUGCUCCAGCUCAGGUGAGGAAAGGACCCUCCUCAGCUAAUCCUGGGUCCUACUCAGGGUGUGAUCCAGGGUUGGGGUGGUGAGGGGGCUCCUGUACAGUGCAAUGUGACCCCUUCCUUGCUCCUGCUGCCCUGCUCCUGUCAAGCACAGGGUGGCUGGGCCCAGAUCUUUACAUCUGUAUGCAAAUAUGGCCCCUGCUGAGAAUCCCUCUAGGACCUGGAUAUUGGUCUUCCUUUUUCGAAUGCCCAGGCCUCCGGGAGUGACAGGCAUUUAUGCCUGUGCUUGGGACCGGCCUGUUACGUGACUUUCAGCAGACCGUAUUGUAGAGCAGGAGGGAGAGGCUCAUCUUCCUCAGCAUUUCAUCUCUGAGGGCAGCGCUCCUCUGUCACGCCCUUCCACCCUAGGCUGAGAUCUCUGAAACCACGAGCCAGAAUGAGUCCUUCUCCUUCUAAGUUGUUCCUGUCAGGUAUGUCGGUCAUAGCAACAACAAGGUGACCAGCAAACCUUCCCUAUUACAGACAAAAAGCAAGCAAACAGAAUACACUUUCAGCUGUAGGAUGCUAUUCUACAACCAAUUUUUCUAGUGAAUAUUUUAAUUUUCAUCCAUAGAUUCAAAGAGUUAUUCAAUUACCCAUUGGACUGAUUUGAAUGGACCCCUCCAGUGUGAUGUGUCACUCUACAGAGUAUAAUAGGAUGUCACCAGAUCUUGCCCAUUGACCUGGGGAGGAAAAAUAAGAGAGGUAGAAGGUAGAAGCAGCGAGUCAAGAAUGUAAGGGAGGAGCUAGAAUAAAGAGAUGCAAAACAAAGAGAGCAGUUGAAGUUAGGGUAACGGAGUUCACUGAUGGAGAUUCGCCACAAUGCGCUGUCACUGUCCCAGAGGUGGCAGGUGGGCCAGGGCGGAGAAGAUGUGGCCCAGGGCAUCUGGUCUUUUUUUUUCCCUAUAAGUUGGUCCAGAUUUAUUGAAAUCUGUCACAGAAGACACAAUUCAAAUAAGAGUCAC